UGGUGGGUUGCCUUGUCAGGUUGAUUCCGGUAACGAACGAGACCUCAGCCUGCUAAAUAGUCACGUCCGCCUUCGGCGGGCGCCUGACUUCUUAGAGGGACUAUUGACGUUUAGUCAAUGGAAGUGUGAGGCGAUAACA
rnacentral:rRNA from 1 species